CACGUAGGGCGCGAGCGUUGUCCGGAAUUAUUGGGCGUAAAGAGCUCGUAGGCGGCCUGUUGCGUCCGCUGUGAAAGCCCGGGGCUUAACCCCGGGUCUGCAGUGGAUACGGGCAGGCUAGAGGUAGGUAGGGGAGAAUGGAAUUCCCGGUGUAGCGGUGAAAUGCGUAGAUAUCAGGAGGAAUACCGAUGGCGAAGGCAGGUCUCUGGGCUGACACUGACGCUCAUGCACGAAAGCGUGGGGAGCAAACAGG
rnacentral:rRNA from 1 species